UUUCCGUAGGUGAACCCGCGGAAGGAUCAUUACAGAGUUCAUGCCCUCACGGGUAGAUCUCCCACCCUUGAAUAUUUAUACCUUAGUUGCUUUGGCAGGCCGUGGAAACACCAUGGGCUCCGGCUUAUGCGUGCCUGCCAGAGGAAACAAACUCUGUCUUUAGUGAUGUCUGAGUACUAUAUAAUAGUUAAAACUUUCAACAACGGAUCUCUUGGUUCUG
rnacentral:misc_RNA from 1 species